rnacentral:rRNA from 1 species
GAUGAACGCUGGCGGCGUGCUUAACACAUGCAAGUCGAACGAAGAGCGAUGGAAGCUUGCUUCUAUCAAUCUUAGUGGCGAACGGGUGAGUAACGCGUAAUCAACCUGCCCUUCAGAGGGGGACAAAAGUUGGAAACGACUGCUAAUACCGCAUACGAUCUAAUCUCGGCAUCGAGGAUAGAUGAAAGGUGGCCUCUACAGGUAAGCUAUCACUGAAGGAGGGGAGUGCGUCUGAUUAGCUAGUUGGAGGGGGAACGGCCCACCAAGGCGAUGAUCAGUAGCCGGUCUGAGAGGAUGGACGGCCACAUUUGGACUGGGACACGGCCCAGACUUCUACGGGAGGCAGCAGGGGGGAAUCUUCCGCCAUGGACGAAAGUCUGACGGAGCAACGCCGCGUGAGUGAUGACGGCCUUCGGGUUGUAAAGCUCUGUUAAUCGGGACGAAAGGCCUUCUUGCGAACAGUUAGAAGGAUUGACGGUACCGGAAGAGAAAGCCACGGCUAACUACGUG